AAACGUAGGUGGCGAGCGUUAUCCGGAUUUACUGGGCGUAAAGCGUGUGCAGGCGGGGCUACAAGUGGUGUAUGAAAUCGCUCGGCUAAACCGGGUGGGGUUAUGCCAGACUGUAGCUCUUGAGUGCGAGAGAGGGGCAUGGAAUUCCGGGUGUAGUGGUGAAAUGCGUAGAGAUCCGGAGGAACCCCAGAGGCGAAGGCGGUGCCCUGGCUCGCAACUGACGCUCAGACACGACAGCAUGGGGAGCGAACGGG
rnacentral:rRNA from 1 species